ACGAACGCUGGCGGCGUGGAUAAGACAUGCAAGUCGAACGGGAGAAUUGCUAGCUUGCUAAUAAUUCUCUAGUGGCGCACGGGUGAGUAACACGUGAGUAACCUGCCUCUUAGUGGGGGAUAGCCCUGGGAAACCGGGAUUAAUACCGCAUACGAUUGAAAGAUCAAAGCAGCAAUGCGCUAGGAGAUGGGCUCGCGGCCUAUUAGUUAGUUGGUGAGGUAACGGCUCACCAAGGCGAUGACGGGUAGCCGGUCUGAGAGGAUGUCCGGCCACACUGGAACUGAGACACGGUCCAGACACCUACGGGUGGCAGCAGUCGAGAAUCAUUCACAAUGGGGGCAACCCUGAUGGUGCGACGCCGCGUGGGGGAAUGAAGGUCUUCGGAUUGUAAACCCCUGUCAUGUGGGAGCAAAUUAAAAAGAUAGUACACAAGAGGAAGAGACGGCUAACUCUGUGCCAGCAGCCGCGGUAAUACAGAGGUCUCAAGCGUUGUUCGGAAUCACUGGGCGUAAAGCGUGCGUAGGCUGUUUCGUAAGUCGUGUGUGAAAGGCAGGGGCUCAACCCCUGGAUUGCACAUGAUACUGCGAGACUAGAGUAAUGGAGGGGGAACCGGAAUUCUCGGUGUAGCAGUGAAAUGCGUAGAUAUCGAGAGGAACACUCGUGGCGAAGGCGGGUUCCUGGACAUUAACUGACGCUGAGGCACGAAGGCCAGGGGAGCGAAAGGGAUUAGAUACCCCUGUAGUCCUGGCAGUAAACGGUGCACGCUUGGUGUGCGGGGAAUCGACCCCCUGCGUGCCGGAGCUAACGCGUUAAGCGUGCCGCCUGGGGAGUACGGUCGCAAGAUUAAAACUCAAAGAAAUUGACGGGGACCCGCACAAGCGGUGGAGUAUGUGGCUUAAUUCGAUGCAACGCGAAGAACCUUACCUGGGCUUGACAUGUAAUGAACAACAUGUGAAAGCAUGCGACUCUUCGGAGGCGUUACACAGGUGCUGCAUGGCCGUCGUCAGCUCGUGUCGUGAGAUGUUUGGUUAAGUCCAGCAACGAGCGCAACCCCUGUUGCCAGUUACCAGCACGUCAAGGUGGGGACUCUGGCGAGACUGCCCAGAUCAACUGGGAGGAAGGUGGGGACGACGUCAGGUCAGUAUGGCCCUUAUGCCCAGGGCUGCACACGUACUACAAUGCCCAGUACAGAGGGGGCCGAAGCCGCGAGGCGGAGGAAAUCCUGAAAACUGGGCCCAGUUCGGACUGUAGGCUGCAACCCGCCUACACGAAGCCGGAAUCGCUAGUAAUGGCGCAUCAGCUACGGCGCCGUGAAUACGUUCCCGGGUCUUGUACACACCGCCCGUCACAUCAUGGAAGCCGGUCGCACCCGAAGUAUCUGAAGCCAACCGCAAGGAGGCAGGGUCCUAAGGUGAGACUGGUAACUGGGAUG
rnacentral:rRNA from 1 species